rnacentral:tRNA from 1 species
GCGGCAGUAGCUCAAUGGUAGAGACCCCGCUCUGCAUGCGGGGAGACUGGGCUCGAUUCCCGGCUGCUUCC